rnacentral:rRNA from 1 species
GACCUCAGAUCAGGCGAGAU